GACGGACGCUGGCGGCGUGCUUAACACAUGCAAGUCGAACGGAAAGGCCCUGCUUUUGUGGGGUGCUCGAGUGGCGAACGGGUGAGUAACACGUGAGUAACCUGCCCUUGACUUUGGGAUAACUUCAGGAAACUGGGGCUAAUACCGGAUAGGAGCUCCUGCUGCAUGGUGGGGGUUGGAAAGUUUCGGCGGUUGGGGAUGGACUCGCGGCUUAUCAGCUUGUUGGUGGGGUAGUGGCUUACCAAGGCUUUGACGGGUAGCCGGCCUGAGAGGGUGACCGGCCACAUUGGGACUGAGAUACGGCCCAGACUCCUACGGGAGGCAGCAGUGGGGAAUAUUGCACAAUGGGCGGAAGCCUGAUGCAGCAACGCCGCGUGCGGGAUGACGGCCUUCGGGUUGUAAACCGCUUUCGCCUGUGACGAAGCGUGAGUGACGGUAAUGGGUAAAGAAGCACCGGCUAACUACGUGCCAGCAGCCGCGGUGAUACGUAGGGUGCGAGCGUUGUCCGGAUUUAUUGGGCGUAAAGGGCUCGUAGGUGGUUGAUCGCGUCGGAAGUGUAAUCUUGGGGCUUAACCCUGAGCGUGCUUUCGAUACGGGUUGACUUGAGGAAGGUAGGGGAGAAUGGAAUUCCUGGUGGAGCGGUGGAAUGCGCAGAUAUCAGGAGGAACACCAGUGGCGAAGGCGGUUCUCUGGGCCUUUCCUGACGCUGAGGAGCGAAAGCGUGGGGAGCGAACAGGCUUAGAUACCCUGGUAGUCCACGCUGUAAACGGUGGGUACUAGGUGUGGGGUCCAUUCCACGGGUUCCGUGCCGUAGCUAACGCUUUAAGUACCCCGCCUGGGGAGUACGGCCGCAAGGCUAAAACUCAAAGGAAUUGACGGGGCCCCGCACAAGCGGCGGAGCAUGCGGAUUAAUUCGAUGCAACGCGUAGAACCUUACCUGGGUUUGACAUGGAUCGGGAGUGCUCAGAGAUGGGUGUGCCUCUUUUGGGGUCGGUUCACAGGUGGUGCAUGGCUGUCGUCAGCUCGUGUCGUGAGAUGUUGGGUUAAGUCCCGCAACGAGCGCAACCCUUGUUCACUGUUGCCAGCACGUUAUGGUGGGGACUCAGUGGAGACCGCCGGGGUCAACUCGGAGGAAGGUGGGGAUGACGUCAAGUCACCAUGCCCCUUAUGUCCAGGGCUUCACGCAUGCUACAAUGGCUGGUACAGAGAGUGGCGAGCCUGUGAGGGUGAGCGAAUCUCGGAAAGCCGGUCUCAGUUCGGAUUGGGGUCUGCAACUCGACCUCAUGAAGUCGGAGUCGCUAGUAAUCGCAGAUCAGCAACGCUGCGGUGAAUACGUUCCCGGGGCU
rnacentral:rRNA from 1 species